GGGGCGGUAGUGUAAUGGCAGCACAUCUGGGUUCAUAGCCCAGAAGGUCCUCGGUUCAAUUCCAGGCUGCCCCG